rnacentral:rRNA from 1 species
GAUGAACGCUGGCUACAGGCUUAACACAUGCAAGUCGAGGGGAAACGGCAUUGAGUGCUUGCACUGAAUGGACGUCGACCGGCGCACGGGUGAGUAACGCGUAUCCUACCUUCCCGUUACUGCGGGAUAACCUGCCGAAAGGCAGACUAAUACCGCAUGUUCUUCGAUGACGGCAUCAGAUUCGAAGCAAAGAUCCGUCGGUAACGGAGGGGGAUGCGUCUGAUUAGCUAGUUGGCGGGGCGACGGCCCACCAAGGCGACGAUCAGUAGGGGUUCUGAGAGGAAGGUCCCCCACAUUGGAACUGAGACACGGUCCAAACUCCUACGGGAGGCAGCAGUGAGGAAUAUUGGUCAAUGGGCGGAAGCCUGAACCAGCCAAGUAGCGUGCAGGAUGACGGCCCUACGGGUUGUAAACUGCUUUUAUGCGGGGAUAAAGUGAGGGACGCGUCCCUUUUUGCAGGUACCGCAUGAAUAAGGACCGGCUAAUUCCGUG